rnacentral:rRNA from 1 species
AUUGAACGCUGGCGGCAGGCUUAACACAUGCAAGUCGAGCGGAGAUGAGGUGCUUGCACCUUGUCUUAGCGGCGGACGGGUGAGUAAUGCUUAGGAAUCUGCCUAUUAGUGGUGGACAACAUUCCGAAAGGAAUGCUAAUACCGCAUACGUCCUACGGGAGAAAGCAGGGGAUCUUCGGACCUGGCGCUAAUAGAGGAGCCUAAGUCGGAUUAGCUAGGUGGUGGGGUAAAGGCCUACCAAGGCGACGAGCUGUAGCGGGUCUGAGAGGAUGAUCCGCCACACUGGGACUGAGACACGGGCCAGACUCCUACGGGAGGCAGCAGUGGGGAAUAUUGGACAAUGGGGGGAACCCUGAUCCAGCCAUGCCGCGUGUGUGAAGAAGGCCUUAUGGUUGUAAAGCACUUUAAGCGAGGAGGAGGCUACUGAGACUAAUACUCUUGGAUAGUGGACGUUACUCGCAGAAUAAGCACCGGCUAACUCUGUGCCAGCAGCCGCAGUAAUAC